CUUUUAUUUAAUCCUCGUUGAAGAGCAUUCACAAGUGGUUUGCAAAAAAUAAUAUUGUUCAUUUCACUUAAAGAUUUUUGAAGAGCAUUAAUCGUGGGAAGCAAAUAUCCUAAUGAUACAUUUUUAUCACCCUGUAAUAUAUCUAAAGCUCUAGAUAAAGGUUUCAUGAUCUAAAAUAAUUGUUUUAUAUUCAUAUAUUAGGUAACAAAUAUUAAAUAUGUAUGUAAAAGUUGCAUUGAUAUAUUCUUGUAGGAAUGAGACUACACGAGGACUUGCAAUGGUAGGCAGUUGUAAAUCAGUACAUACUUGGUCCAUCUUUUCCUUGUUAUCAACAAUGCAUUUUAUAGCGUCAUAAUAAGAAUUCC